rnacentral:rRNA from 1 species
UACGUAGGGUGCGAGUGUUAAUCGGAAUUACUGGGCGUAAAGCGUGCGCAGGCGGCUUUGCAAGACAGAUGUGAAAUCCCCGGGCUCAACCUGGGAACUGCAUUUGUGACUGCAAGGCUAGAGUACGGCAGAGGGGGAUGGAAUUCCGCGUGUAGCAGUGAAAUGCGUAGAUAUGCGGAGGAACACCAAUGGCGAAGGCAAUCCCCUGGGCCUGUACUGACGCUCAUGCACGAAAGCGUGGGGAGCAAACAGG